AGAGUUUGAUCCUGGCUCAGGAUGAACGCUGGCGGCGUGCUUAACACAUGCAAGUCGAACGGACCAUAUUCGUAUGGUUAGUGGCAGACGGGUGCGUAACACGUGGGUGACCUGCCCUCAAGUGGGGAACAACUCCGCUAACGCGGAGCUAAUACCGCAUAUGUUCGCUUUUUCAGUAAGGCGAGUAAAGCAGUAAUGCGCUUGGGGAUGGGCCUGCGGCGGAUUAGCUAGUUGGUGGGGUAACGGCCUACCAAGGCGAUGAUCCGUAGGGGGCGUGAGAGCGUGGCCCCCCACACUGGCACUGAGACACGGGCCAGACUCCUACGGGAGGCAGCAGUGAGGAAUAUUGCACAAUGGGCGAAAGCCUGAUGCAGCAACGCCGCGUGAGGGACGAAGGCCUUCGGGUCGUAAACCUCUUUUCUGGGGGACGAGCAAGGACGGUACCCCAGGAAUAAGUCUCGGCUAACUACGUGCCAGCAGCCGCGGUAAAACGUAGGAGGCGAGCGUUAUCCGGAUUUACUGGGCGUAAAGCGUACGCAGGUGGCUUCGUUAGUCGGACAUGAAAGCUCCCGGCUUAACUGGGAGAGGUUGUUCGAUACUGCGGGGCUUGAGGUUGGGAGAGGGACGUGGAAUUCCCGGUGUAGUGGUGGAAUGCGUAGAUAUCGGGAGGAACACCAGUGGCGCAAGCGGCGUCCUGGCCCACACCUGACGCUGAGGUACGAAAGCGUGGGUAGCAAACAGGAUUAGAUACCCUGGUAG
rnacentral:rRNA from 1 species